rnacentral:misc_RNA from 1 species
AAAGGACUCAACCUUGAAAUAAGAAGACUGAGAACAUCUUUGAACUCAAGGAUGCGAGAUCUGUUCAAGACCCCAUCCAUGAAUAUGGACCAAAUUACAAAGGAGUUCCAUUGAUCAUUGAUAAUGGAUCAUAUAAUUGUCGUGUAGGAUGGGCCAUAGACCAAGAGCCAAGAGUAGUCUUCCGUAAUUGCUAUGCAAAACACAGGAAAGAUAGGGGGAAAAAUUGGCAGCGGAGAUUGAGGUGUUGGUGGCUAAUGACAUAAGUAACAUUGAAGCUGUGCGGUUCCAACUAAAAUCACCCCAUGAUGAGAAUAUUGUCACUCAUUAUGAGGCACAAGAGACGAUGUUUGACUACACAUUCUCACACUUAGGCAUCGACACAACGCAAGUGGAUCACCCAAUCGUGUUGACUGAAGCCUUUUGCAAUCCCAAUUACUCAAGACAGUUGAUGUCGGAGGUUGCUUGUUUGAUGCUUAUGGUGUUGGCCAAGCAUAU